AUGUAGGCUUCCCAGAGACUAUGGGUUGAGGAGGAAUUGGAAGUUUGUCGGCUUAGACCUGGUGUCAUUCCAUCAGUGUUAAACUUCCCGGCUCAUCUUGGAAGAGUACGUGCCAGAAAGACCACAACCAAGCAGCCUUGAGAUCUUAGGCAGCGUCUCCCUCAGGUCCCUCUCUAUCUCCCCACACAUCCACCAACCACUGGAACACAUCUCCAAAGUUCUGCUGGACCAGCUCAGCUUCCCCUCAGAAGAAGUGCUGCCACCUGCCAGAUGAAGGAGCCUUUUGAGAGGCAGCUGGCAUCGUGAUCGGACUGUACUUUGGUCUGUUCCAAUCCAGCUUCAGCUCCAGAGACGGCAGGCGGGACGAGUCAACGGAGGCCUGGUGGACGAAGGCAUGCAGCUGAGUACAAUCCAGAAAAACACAGAGGAGGAGUGCAGCGGCCCAGAGCCAGAACAACCAGAGUAGCAUCGUAUGUCUCUUAGAAAACAUCAUAGUAUAGCCUUUGGUAUGAAAAAACACCAUCAUAUACAUCGUAUAUUGUACAAAUAACAAGUCAAAGGAAAGAGACAUACAUUGUAGAAUUGUAGUAAUUGUGGGCUGACUGAUUUACUGAUUAUCAGUAUUUUAUUUUUUACUGAUUUAUGGUAAUAAAUACAUUUAAAAAUG